rnacentral:rRNA from 1 species
AUUGAACGCUGGCGGCAUGCUUUACACAUGCAAGUCGAACGGUAACAGGCCGCAAGGUGCUGACGAGUGGCGAACGGGUGAGUAAUGCAUCGGAACGUGCCCAGUCGUGGGGGAUAACGCAGCGAAAGCUGCGCUAAUACCGCAUACGAUCUAUGGAUGAAAGCGGGGACCGAAAGGCCUCGCGCGAUUGGAGCGGCCGAUGUCAGAUUAGGUAGUUGGUGAAGUAAAGGCUCACCAAGCCAACGAUCUGUAGCUGGUCUGAGAGGACGACCAGCCACACUGGGACUGAGACACGGCCCAGACUCCUACGGGAGGCAGCAGUGGGGAAUUUUGGACAAUGGGCGCAAGCCUGAUCCAGCAAUGCCGCGUGCAGGAAGAGGGCCUUCGGGUUGUAAACUGCUUUUGUACGGAACGAAACGGUCCGGGUUAAUACCCUGGGCUAAUGACGGUACCGUAAGAAUAAGCACCGGCUAACUACGUGCCAGCCGCCGCCGUAAUAC